rnacentral:lncRNA from 1 species
GUAGAAGGAUUUAAGCAAAAUGAAACAGACAGAAAUAUUGAUCCAGACAACUGGAAUUUUCAAGUGUAUUGCAAUGAUAAUGACGACUGGAAAGGAAAGAGAGGAAGGUAACAAAGAAAAGCCAAGAAAACUAUUUGGAGUGAGAGACUAUGGUAAUAUAAAAGGCUAUAAUGUGGUAAAAUCGUGGGGACUUAAUUCCAUCAUAUGGAGGUUACUGAAUGUAUCAGAGACAGCCUGCAGUUCAUCACCACACAAAUUAGGAGCAACGUAAGAAGAGAAAAAGAAAAAGGAAUUACAGAUUAAAAAAUGCAAGAGAAUAUAAACAAAUAAAAAUAUGUUCAACUGGAAUUUGUAUUGGGAUUGUAUUAAAUGGAUGAACUAAUUUGUGAAGAAAUGAUAUCAUUCCAUCCAAGAGCAUGGAACUCCUAUUUUUCCUAUUGUCUUCUAUGUUUCUUUUUAAAAAGUCUUAAGUUUUCUCUGUAGAGUUUUUUGCAUUCUGGAUGAUUUUAAUUGAAACAUACUGUAUAGAUAUUGUUACUAUGAUAAGUGGUGCCUCUUAUUAGAUUUUUUAAUUCAUUAUGAUUGGUAAAGCAAAUAGGAAAGAUUUUG